rnacentral:rRNA from 1 species
UACGGAGGGGACUAGUGUUGUUCGGAAUUACUGGGCGUAAAGCGCACGUAGGCGGAUUUGUAAGUCAGGGGUGAAAUCCCGGGGCUCAACCUCGGAACUGCCUUUGAUACUGCAAAUCUCGAGUCCGGAAGAGGUGAGUGGAAUUCCUAGUGUAGAGGUGAAAUUCGUAGAUAUUAGGAAGAACACCAGUGGCGAAGGCGGCUCACUGGUCCGGUACUGACGCUGAGGUGCGAAAGCGUGGGGAGCAAACAGG